rnacentral:rRNA from 1 species
GAUGAACGCUGGCGGCGUGCCUAAUACAUGCAAGUCGAGCGAACGGACGAUAAGCUUUCUUCUCUGAUGUUAGCGGCGGACGGGUGAGUAACACGUGGAUAACCUACCUAUAAGACUGGGAUAACUUCGGGAAACCGGAUCUAAUACCGGAUAAUAUUUUGAACCGCAUGACUCAAAAGUUAAAGACGGUCUUGCUGUCACUUAUAGAUGGAUCCGCGCUGCAUUAGCUAGUUGGUAAGGUAACGGCUUACCAAGGCAACGAUGCAUAGCCGACCUGAGAGGGUGAUCGGCCACACUGGAACUGAGACACGGUCCAGACUCCUACGGGAGGCAGCAGUAGGGAAUAUUCCGCAAUGGGCGAAAGCCUGACGGAGCCACGCCGCGUGAGUGAUGAAGGCCUUCGGAUCGUAAAACUCUGUUAUUAGGGAAGAACAUAUGUGUAAGUAACUGUGCACAUCUUGACGGUACCUAAUCAGAAAGCCACGGCUAACUACGUG